UGGCGGUUGUAGGAGGCAGGAGGCGAGGUGCAAUGUGUAGGGGAGUGGAAGCUGUGGACCCAGGAGACCCGCUCCCCAGUGGAAAUGUGGGCUGUCCUGGCAGAGAAGCAGAUCAUUUCCUCAAAAUGGAUGUUCCUGGGAUGUCGAUGAAGACAGUACGUCUGAAAGGAACACUGAGGCCCAUCUGCUGGACAGAGCUUCCUGUGCUACUGACUACUGGUACUGCAGUGGUUUAAACACCUCAACUUGCGAUGCUCACAGAAUCUGUUCAUGGUUUGUGAUGAACUGGUGGCAGUGUUUAAUAUCCAUUGAAGGUAAUGAGAGGUCUUGAUGGCUGAGGUCUCCAGAAAUUGAAGAAAAGGGAAAUGUUUCUAUCUCGGGAGCCACGUCCUUAUGUGUAUAAAGCUGAAUCGGGUACCACGUCCUUAUGGAUGUAAAGCUGAGUUGACUGGAAUACCAGUGGCAUGUGCGGUUCUGGUUAACUGAAGAUUCACUAGCAAAUACUCAGUAGUUACUAUUACAGAAAGCUUCUCCAGCCUUUAAAAGUCUGGUAUGCCAGAAAGAAAUCAGUGGAGGAUACAGGGGCUUGAGCCAUCUCAUGCGCCUUCUGUGUUACACUGAACAACUGCAAGUGAAUGUAGCCAGAGAAGGAACAAGAAACAGAAGUUGUUCCUGACAUCAGGAGAUCACCUGGACUAUUAGUGAUAAAUGUGUAUUGUAUUCCAAAAAACCUGUAGAGCUUCAGAAAGGUAUUUCAUGACCUUUGGGGAAGCAGAGAUUUAAUAGAAUGGUAGAAAGCGCUAACAACAAAAUAAAAGGCUGAGAAUCACACUUCAUAAGAAUUUGAAAACUACUGCUCAUCAAAACAUGCUAUUACAAAUAAAUAGCAAGGAUUGAAUGGGAAGAAAAUAUAUAUAUUCUCAUAUAUUUGUAUUAUGUAGGAUAUAUAAACAUACAUGUUCCUAAGUAUUUUCAUAGAGAAUGAAUAUAGCCAGAGUCCACAAGGAAAUGUAUAUGCGCUUCAGCAGCUCGCCAUGCUAAUAAAUGUCUGGAAGCUAAAAGCAACCACUUUGAACACUACUUGUAAUUGCAGAGGCCAAAUGUAACUUGUAUUAAUCUCAUGAUGAAUAUAAUAAAUUUAGUAUUAAAAUAUUUAUACAAGUUUUGCUUUUCCCAAUGUAUACAUUUUUUGGUGGACUCUGUAUAAAAACCCCAAGAUACAUACAGAAGUCCUGCAAUCCAAGAAGAAUUUAAACAGUACAAUGAAAAAUGGCUCAAGACCCUAAAGAGACACUUUCUAAGGGAAGGUAGAUGAAUGGCCAGCAAACACAGGAAACUGCUCCACAGCACUAGUCAUCAGGAAGAUACCACUGCGCAGCCACUACACAUUUCAGAAUGGCUGAAAUGAGACCAGACAAAUCCAAAGGUUAAUGAGGAUAUGGAAUAGCCAUACCUUCCUGCAUGACUGCUGGGAAUAGAGAAUGAUACUGUCCUUUAGAAAUUGGCAGUU
rnacentral:lncRNA from 1 species